UACAUAGAUCUAUUUACAUGUAUUUACACAUAUAUUUAGAAUUGCAGUAUAAAAAUUAUCAUAAGUAAGCUGUCUAUUCCCAGUGAUUUCAGAAAGAUGAUAUCUAUUUGGUCCAUAUGGUAUUGUUCACAUACAUGUACAGUUAUACUUAAGAGAUCUGUGACACAGUCUAUUUUCAUACAUUUCAAAAGUUACAGGCUUAAAAAACACAAAGAGCCUCAGCUGAGAAGUAUGGCACCUGCAAGGCGAGGUUUACUUCAUCACUCUUUUCUCCAGUAAUUCAUCUAACCUUUUGAGUGAGAUGCUGAAGAAUGCAUACAUUUUCAUCAAAAAUUGUACUUCCAAAGUGAUGGAAAAUUUAAGUAUUUGAAAAUACAGUAGAUGUUUUACGGCACAACUUCAUUACAUUUUCACAUUUGGGAAUCUCUGUGCGAUGUUUGUUACUGAUAGCUUGCAAGUUAUUUUGCAGGUUGAUUUGACAUCAGGUUUCAUUCUUCUUUCAAGACAGGCUAACAGUAUCAUUAAGUAGUGUAAAUAGAUAGCAGACUUUCAAGAGAAAUUGGACAUGUCUCACUGUAUUUGUGAACGAUUUCCUCUCAUGUGGCAUGAGGGUUUAGACAAAUUAAAUUACAAUAGUAAUUUAAUAGUCUAUUUCCUCAGUCUGCCCUACAUAUGCAGUAAGAUACUCAAAAGUAUACAGUUAUUUCAUUCUUACCUUCUUAACAUACAUCCUAUGUUUAUGCAUCAGUUUUUAGGUGUUGUAUAGUUAUAUGUUUGAUGUAAACUGAAGGUGGAGAUAAUACUGGAAAAAAAUAACAACACUUUUGGAGGUGGCAGGUGCAGGAGAGAAGGUGCAAAUACUCAUUAAAUGCACGCUUGUUAAUGAUUUUCUAUACUCAGUGACUGUGACUGAAAUAAAAAGAGGAAAUCUAAGACCACAGUCUGUCAAAUGUCACAGGACAGUGUAGGCUAGUGUUGAGCUGAGAUUAGCAUGUUCAUUUUCCUGCCUUCCUCUUCUCCCAGCUUUGGACACAGGUGUUAGCAAAAGUACUGACAACUGCUGCAGUUAACUGAAUCAGAUUCAUUCAAAUAAAAAUGCCCUGUGUUUGUAAAUGAUUAUUUUUCUUUUGAAUCAGUUCUGUAGUAUGGUUCUAUUGCAUAGCUGUGUGAACACUUCAUGCACAAAGCCAAAAUAGCAUAAGGCUAAGGAUGAGGACAUGAAAUGAUGGUAUUGGUGCUCAUUGCAUUAGUGUUCCUUAAGUUACUGUUUUGUCCUACUGUAUUUCUGAAAAAGGCUGGUAUCAUGUAUUGUCAGAACUGUAUAAUUUAAGUAAAACUUUCCUUUCAUUUGGGAUUCAUUGAGGACGUUCUACUCUGCUAAUUUCUGCUAUUUAAGAGAGUUAGAGGAUUCAGGAAAGGAAAGGAAGGAAUGUUAUGCACCUAUAAUAUGAACAACAUUUUUGCAAGUAUAUCUCUUUAAUACAAGUAAAUUGGUUACCAUUUUGUAAACUUUUCCUCAGUAGCGCAUUUCAUCUGCCUUCCAGGUAAAUCUGCAAUGCUAUAGCUGCAUUUAGAGACACACCUUCAUUUUUCUUCUAGCUUCUCUGGGAAAUUUUAAAAAGACCUUUUGGAUAAAAUAUUGAUAGUUCAAAAUAUCUGUCACAGUUUCUGACUUACUCAACACAGAAGUAGCUCACUUCAACUGAUAAAUGCCCUGAUGAUGCUAUCUUGAAAAAGAAUAAUAUAAGUUUAUAGUUCCCAGUUUUAAUUUGUGAAAAUUUCUUUAGUGAUAACUCUCUUACUAAAUACAAGAUGGAAUGGAAAAUGAAUUGAUGCAUGAUGGAUGUGGCUGUAGCCCAGGCCAUGUGUUUGCAUGCUAGCCUCAAACCAGUGGAGCACAGUCGGCUCCAUCACAGGCAUCCUGCAUACUAUUUGCAUAAGACUGUGCUUAGUUUUUUCCACUGUUUAUUUUGCAGUUUGGUGAUUUAAAUCGCUGUGUCCCCUGGAAAUAUGGAUAAAGAUGAAGGCAGCGAAGUUGAAAGUGAAAUAGAUGAAGAAAUGGAUGAAAAUGGAGAGCC